ACCUUAUUGCUUUCUGUCCCCAUGUGUAUAUCUAUUGAAAAUUACCUCUUUGUACCUGCAUAAAAUUCAGGAAUCUGUUCAUUGCGCUGUUUUUUAUUCUAUUUCUGUACAUUUAGCUUGUUAGCAAGUCAUGAAUACGGGGAAUUAGCUUAUAUUAAAUAUUAUCAUGUUUAUGUUUUUCUACACAUAAAAAACCCAAGAAAAAAAGUUAUGUUUUCUCUGUAUCUGUAUGGAUUUGCCUAAAACAAUCAAUAGAGUCUAUGUUUUACUUUUGUCAAAAAUACGUAGUCCUGACUUGUGAAGCAUCUGAGCUAGCAUUCGAUGAAACGAAUGCAUGUAGUUUGUAAAAACAUAAGGAAUCAAAGAUAAAAUGCAUAAGAUUGUUUUAUUAAUAUUUAUCUGAGCUAUCGUGAGAAAUCAAUGUUAAGAAUCGGACAGGAGUGUGUGAUUUUCUGUGUAGCAACAUCGUUAGCGUUAGCAACUUAGCAGCGUUAUGCAAGCUAACAUUCAGUUAGCUGCCUUUUCGCUUCCUUUAGGCAGCAUGGCUAACAGCAAGCUGGUGGCUAGAUGCAAUAUUAUGUUGCUUUUGUGGGAUAAAUCUCUGAGCCUCCUGAUAUAAAUCCUGAUAUAAAUGUCUGGCAGGAGCUAACUUGGACUUUAGACUCAUAGGAGAUGAGUUAAGGUGUCGGGGUUGGCAGUGGGGGUAGAGGGCUGCUAUACAUAGCCCCGUGAUGGUCUGGCAGUAAAAACAAACAAGGUUUUCUUUCACUCACUGCUUUCAGUGGGAGAGUUAUGAGUCUUAGCACUGCUAUGGGGGUGUUCUGAGCCGGGAAACAGGUGUCAAGGUCCUUGCUUCUGGCGUCCAGCGUCACCUGAUUGGGACUCACAGAGCAACGCUGCUCCUGUACUUGUUGGCACCUGGGUGAUUAGCUGGGACUGUGCGUGCGGAUUAUCGCUUCGGGCCGAUUUUUGCUGCUGCGCAGGCAGAGAGAGGAGUGGCAACAAUCCUUUUGAUCUGAUGCUGAUCUCUGAUCUGCGAGAGAUGAGAUUUCCUUGUGUCGGUCAGCUCAUGUUAACGCUGCUGUGGAAAACCGGCUCCAAGGAUGGCGAGAAGGAGGCGCUGUGAAAGCAGCAAUGUCGUAAUCGAAUCACACGAGAAAGGCCAGGAUCCACAGAGAGCUUCCAAAGUACCAGAGAGGUCUCAUUGUCUAAAAGGUACCAGCCAGGAGAAGAAUGCAAAGUAAAACCAGGCAGCCUCACACAAGUUGGCAGGAAGGGCUCCACGGGCCCCCAGCUCCACAUGAUGAGACCAAGAAACAGAUGGAGAUGAAAUCAUUCGGAUUCCACGUUGCAGCGGAGCCAAAGACAACUUGUGGGCGAAUGAUUAAAAUCAAAUAAGCCUCAUGGUUGUAAUUUUGUGUCAGUGAAAUUGGCAGGUUGGUAAUUAAAAUCAGAAACACCGCAGGGCUGACUGAGGCUGUUAUGAGACCCAACAAGAAAUCAAAAGCAAAGCAGCCAAUCAGCAGCUAAUUUAUGAGCAAAACAAUGUGUUUUGUGUAAAGAGAAGGUUAGAGAGAGAGAAAAAAAGCAGGGUUUGUUUUGUG